rnacentral:rRNA from 1 species
AUACGUAGGGAGCGAGCGUUGUCCGGAAUUACUGGGUGUAAAGGGAGCGUAGGCGGGAGUGCAAGUCAGAUGUGAAAUGCAUGGGCUUAACCCAUGAGCUGCAUUUGAAACUGCAUUUCUUGAGUGAAGUAGAGGUAAGCGGAAUUCCUGGUGUAGCGGUGAAAUGCGUAGAUAUCAGGAGGAACACCGGUGGCGAAGGCGGCUUACUGGGCUUUUACUGACGCUGAGGCUCGAAAGCGUGGGGAGCAAACAGGAUUAGAUACCCUGGUAGUCCACGCUGUAAACGAUGAUUACUAGGUGUGGGGGGACUGACCCCUUCCGUGCCGCAGUUAACACAAUAAGUAAUCCACCUGGGGAGUACGGCCGCAAGGUUGAAACUCAAAUGAAUUGGCGGGG